rnacentral:rRNA from 1 species
GACGAACGCUGGCGGCGUGCUUAACACAUGCAAGUCGAACGGUGAAGCGCCUUCCUUUUUGGUGGGUGUGGAUGAGUGGCGAACGGGGGAGUAACACGUGAGUAACCUGCCCCCUUCUGCUGGAUAACCGCAUGAAAGUGCGGCUAAUACGGGAUAUUCUGGGUCUGUCGCAUGAUGGGUCUGGGACAGAUAUUGUUUCGGUGGGGGAUGGGCUCGCGGCCUAUCAGCUUGUUGGUGGGGUGAUGGCCUACCAAGGCGGUGACGGGUAGCCGGCCUGAGAGGGUGGGCCGCCCUGGAGGGGAUGCGCGGCCGACAAGACUACGACAGGCAGCAGCAGGGAAGAAUACGGAACGAGGGGCAGACGGCUGGUGCAGCGCCGCGGCAGGGGGGAAGGAGGCCGGAGGGUUGUGAACUUCUUUCGGGGGUGAAGCAGGGCUGCCGCGUUUGUGCGCGGCUUGACGGUAGCUGGAUAAGAAGCGCCGGCUAACUACGUG